rnacentral:rRNA from 1 species
GCACAAGCGGUGGAGCAUGUGGUUUAAUUCGACGCAACGCGCAGAACCUUACCAGCCCUUGACAUCCCGGUCGCGGACUCCAGAGACGGAGUUCUUCAGUUCGGCUGGACCGGAGACAGGUGCUGCAUGGCUGUCGUCAGCUCGUGUCGUGAGAUGUUGGGUUAAGUCCCGCAACGAGCGCAACCCCCGUCCUUAGUUGCUACCAUUUAGUUGAGCACUCUAAGGAGACUGCCGGUGAUAAGCCGCGAGGAAGGUGGGGAUGACGUCAAGUCCUCAUGGCCCUUACGGGCUGGGCUACACACGUGCUACAAUGGCGGUGACAAUGGGACGCUAAGGGGCAACCCUUCGCAAAUCUCAAAAAGCCGUCUCAGUUCGGAUUGGGCUCUGCAACUCGAGCACAUGAAGUUGGAAUCGCUAGUAAUCGCAGAUCAGCACGCUGCGGUGAAUACGUUCCCGGGC